CUCGUAGGCGGCCAACUAAGUCCGACGUGAAAUCCCAAAGCUUAACUUUGGAACUGCGUCGGAUACUGGAUGGCUUGAAUUCGGGAGAGGGAUGCAGAAUUCCAGGUGUAGCGGUGAAAUGCGUAGAUAUCUGGAGGAACACCGGUGGCGAAGGCGGCGUCCUGGACCAACACUGACACUGAGGAGCGAAAGCCAGGGAGCAAACG
rnacentral:rRNA from 1 species